CAAUAAACAGCCCCAGUUUGACUGUUUAAUUCUUUCAGAUUAAUGGUUCUUAUAAUCCAAGUGUCAAACUCAAGGCCCACGGGCCAAAUAUGGCCCGCUGUAAAGUUUUAUGUGGGCCAGAUGGACAGAUA